rnacentral:lncRNA from 13 species
GGGAGCUGGAGUCAUUUUGCGGGUCACAGGACUGCUCAUUUCUUGGGCAGGACGUGACAUUCUUUUCCCUCCUUUCUGAAAAACUUUUCUCAGGCGCCUGAACUUGGCAUGAGGACCGGCCUCGGAAGGCCGGCGGGUAGCACGGCCGCGGCAUCCAGCCCUUCGCACUCCUCGCCCCGGCCCCUCAGUGCCCCUCGGCUCGCACCCCGGGUCGGGGACGCGCGCGGAAAGGCCGCCCGCGCGCGCGAGUCGAGGCUUAUAUCGGCUGAGGGCGGCGCCUGCGCAGGGCCUGGCGCGGCGGCGCGGCCUUUGAAGUCGUGGCGGCUGCCGCUUUCAUCCUUUCUUUUUUCCCUUGCAGGCCCCUUUGUGUGACUAAAUUUGGCAAGAAUAUGGAUCCCAGCCAGUCUUUCCACGUGUGCUCCCAGCUCCCAGCUGAGAAGGCCAAGGGUUCUCUUCCGGGAAAACCAGUUUGGCUAUUAAGGGAACCUGUCGACACAGAGCAGAGCAAGAUAAGGCCAGGUUUCAGAGAGAAUAGCUGUUUACCAUCAAAGCAACUGGGUUCCACACAGACAUGGUUUAUUAUACACAAAGACGAUGGUAAGUGCUCCAUGGUUUUUAUGAAUAAUUUACUGUGCUUAUAUAAAUGCACUAGAGCCUCUAGAAUUCUUACUGAUCAUAUUACUUUCCUAUCUAUUGUUAAAAAAAUAGCUAACUCAUCAAAUGUAAUUUAAAAAGUCAGUUUUCUGGAUUCCCCCUCCCUGAUGCUUCUGGUGUGUCAACACCUGUAUAUCAGAAAGGAAUGAUUUUUUUCCAUGUGAUAAAUGCAAUUUUGGUGAUGCCAUAUAAUGAAAAUUUACUAGAUUUUCAUUUAUCAAAGUGUCUUUCUCUUCUCAGUUUCAAAAAGCACGAAUUUUACUUGGAGUGAUAUAUUUCUUGGGUUAAUUUAUAUUUUAUAAAUAUGUGAAAUUAUUAAUUCAUUCUAUCUGUAGCACGUGUGGACCCUGAAGCUUAUGGCAGUGCCGUUAUCUGUUGUAGGGAUGCAAACAUGCUCUUUGAUGUGUUAUUCUUGGGGACUUGGGCGGAUAAAGAUGGAAUACUCAUUUGGCCCAGUUCUCCAGAUGGGCUGAAAAUGCAGCAGUAGUUUAUGUGCAUUUCCACAGAGCAAGGUUGUAACUUUCUAUUCUGUACCAUGUUGUAGAUAACAGGAAACUUCAGGAAGUAGCAGUCUCAGCUGAUUUUGCUCCUGCCCCUCUAGGAUGGGGCAGUGGGCAUCAUCAGUGCACAAAUGUGCUUUCUAGCACAUGCUUGCCUCAGUAAACUGCUUGCACAUUCACUGUGUCGUGUGGAUUAUCCUACCCAGGAAAGAUGUCUAAAGUAAAUCAUCGUCAUCCUCAUCCUCAUAUACAAUACCAGCAUAUCCUAAAUCCUGUUCUAAGUGCUUUAUGUGUAUUAACUACCUUGUUCUGGUUUUGUUUUGUUCUUUUUUUUGAGACUGGGUCUCACUCUGUUGCCCAGGCUGGAGUGCAGUGGUACAGUCACAGCUCAGUGUAGCCUCAAACUCCUGUGCUCAAGUGAUACUACCACCUCAGCCUCCUGAGUGGCUGAGACCAGAAGUGCAUGCCACCACACUGGCUGAGUUUUAAAUUUAUUGUAGAG